rnacentral:lncRNA from 1 species
UGUUAACUUUUAAUAUAAUGUUGAAUGGAAAGACAUAUUUUGCUCUAACCACAAUCUUUAGAGCAAUUCUCUGGAUGAAAUACUAUUUGCUAUGCUUAAGUUUGAACCCGCUAAUUUUCAUCUCGACCAUGAUUAAUGAUUGUCAAUAACACUCGGACCGACCCGACCUGAACAAAACCCACUUGAACUGAAAUUAUUGGAUCUUGACCAUGAUGAUAUGUAAUACAUCCAUAGUAGACAUAAACAUUUCGACAUCAAACAAGAUAUUGAAGACGAUCUCUCCACUCUAAUGGGAGCCAUAACAAGGCACUCAACUUCGAGCCUUCGGCAUUGAUUUUGGGUGAACUUUGUGAAGCAGCCAUGAGAAACAACCCUGAGAGAUCUUCUCUUGAUCAUCAAUGUUUGUUGUGCCAUUUUCAUCUCCUCCUUGUUUCUUCUUCUUCUUCAUCUUCUCUUUGUGCUGCUUCCUCAGCAAAUAAGCUUCUGCUAGCUCAGGUCCUGCCAUGGACGUGAUGGACAUGUCCUACGAUGCAAAACGAAGCACAAUUAUUGUGGAGUAGGAUGAGAACAAUAAUUUCAAGAACUAAUGAGCUGAGCAGAU